CCCAAACUAAUUAAGCACAAAAGGGAAUUUAUUGGAAGGCUCCUUGAUACAAUUUGACAGCUUUACUGUAAGAGAGGGACUUGCUGUCCCUGGGAUGGAGGUAAAACAACUUGGGAAAGGCCUUGAUGGUCUAACCUUGCCAGGUGCCAUCUCCUUGUCAGAGCUAGUUGUGGGGUUAGGGGAGGGGGUAUGAGAGCCGGAGAAGAAGCAUAUUCCAGAAAGGAACACAAGAUAGGAGAUAGGAUAGGAUCCCCUGGUUACAUUAAACACACACACACACACACAUACGGCUGCUAUAUGGAGAAUAGAGCAGAAGGGGCAGCGAAGAGCUUCAGGGAGAUGGGUUAGGAGACAGCCCGGUCCAGGAACAGGGGUAGUUGGGAGGCAGUAAUGGUGGAG
rnacentral:lncRNA from 1 species